GACGAACGCUGGCGGCGUGCUUAACACAUGCAAGUCGAACGAAGAGCGAUGGAAGCUUGCUUCUAUCAAUCUUAGUGGCGAACGGGUGAGUAACGCGUAAUCAACCUGCCCUUCAGAGGGGGACAACAGUUGGAAACGACUGCUGAUACCGCAUACGAUCCAAUCUCGGCAUCGAGAAUGGAUGAAAGGUGGCCUCUAUUUAUAAGCUAUCACUGAAGGAGGGGAUUGCGUCUGAUUAGCUAGUUGGAGGGGUAACGGCCCACCAAGGCGACGAUCAGUAGCCGACCUGAGAGGGUGACCGGCCACAUUGGGACUGAGACACGGCCCAA
rnacentral:rRNA from 1 species